rnacentral:rRNA from 1 species
UACGGGGGGAGCAAGCGUUGUUCGGAUUUACUGGGCGUAAAGGGCGCGUAGGCGGCCACCGCAAGUCGACUGUGAAAUCUCCGGGCUUAACCCGGAAAGGUCAGCCGAUACUGCGGGGCUAGAGUGCAGAAGGGGCAACUGGAAUUCUCGGUGGUAGCGGUGAAAUGCGUAGAUAUCGAGAGGAACACCUGCGGCGAAGGCGGGUUGCUGGGCUGACACGUGACGCUGGAGGCGCGAAAGCUAGGGGAGCGAACGGGA